rnacentral:rRNA from 1 species
GAUGAACGCUGGCGGCGUGCCUAAUACAUGCAAGUCGAGCGAACAGAUAAGGAGCUUGCUCCUUUGACGUUAGCGGCGGACGGGUGAGUAACACGUGGGUAACCUACCUAUAAGACUGGAAUAACUCCGGGAAACCGGGGCUAAUGCCGGAUAACAUUUAGAACCGCAUGGUUCUAAAGUGAAAGAUGGUUUUGCUAUCACUUAUAGAUGGACCCGCGCCGUAUUAGCUAGUUGGUAAGGUAACGGCUUACCAAGGCAACGAUACGUAGCCGACCUGAGAGGGUGAUCGGCCACACUGGAACUGAGACACGGUCCAGACUCCUACGGGAGGCAGCAGUAGGGAAUCUUCCGCAAUGGGCGAAAGCCUGACGGAGCAACGCCACGUGAGUGAUGAAGGUCUUCGGAUCGUAAAACUCUGUUAUUAGGGAAGAACAAAUGUGUAAGUAACUGUGCACGUCUUGACGGUACCUAAUCAGAAAGCCACGGCUAACUACGUG